CUGAUGGAAAGCUAAGAACCUGCUUGAUUCCAAUUGCAGGUUUUCUUAAUCAUUCGACUUGUCCACACAUAAUGCACUAUGGGAAAGUUGAUUCCACGACAAAUUCUAUAAAAUUUCCUUUGUCAAGGUCGUGUAAUGCAGGGCAACAAUGUUUUCUUGGCUACGGGAGCUUCUCUAGUUCUCAUCUACUGACCUUCUAUGGUUUUCUACCACAACUAGAUAACUACUAUGAUGUGAUUCCGCUAGAUAUUGAUGUUGCAAGCAAUGAUGAUUGUGCAGACACAGACCCUACACCUGAUUGGACCUCCCAUAUGGUCCGUGGAACUUGGUUCUCAAAGAAUCACGGCAUCUUCCAUUAUGGGUUACCAGCGCCUCUACUGGAUCGUAUGCGUAGAUCUCGGAAUCCUUCCUUGCAGUCGAUGACCCUUACACCAGAGAACUUAGAAAUUGAACUCGACAUACUUAGGGACCUUUGUUCUAUGUUCGAAGAGAUGCGGGAUGGACUAGGAGAUCCUGAAUUGGAUAACAGGGAGACCACAAGUUGUGAUGUAAAGCUUGCAGUGGAUUUCAAAGAUUUACAGAGGAGGAUUUUUUCCUCCAUUGUUGCUUCAUGUCAGGCAGGAUGUGAGUUGGUAGAAUGUGAACUGCAAAUAUACACAUUAUAACAACAGUGCUGAAGCUCUUCUAUGUUUUAGAAUUGUUAAAUUAUUAUUGCAAGUUAUUUUAUUUAGAUGAAUCUAGUCAACUGGUUAGCCCUUUUAAUUAGGAG
rnacentral:misc_RNA from 1 species